rfam:Amborella trichopoda AMTR_V1.0_contig_8717, whole genome shotgun sequence.
GACCGUCUAGCUCAGUUGGUAGAGCACAAGGCUCUUAACCUUCGUGGGUUUGAGCCCCACGGUGGUCG